GCGAACGCUGGCGGCAGGCCUCACACCUGCAAGUCGCACGAACCUUUCGGGGUUAGUGGCGGACGGGUGAGUAACACGUGGGAACGUGCCUUUAGGUUCGGAAUAACUCAGGGAAACUUGUGCUAAUACCGAAUGUGCCCUUCGGGGGAAAGAUUUAUCGCCUUUAGAGCGGCCCGCGUCUGAUUAGCUAGUUGGUUGAGGUAAUGGCUCACCAAGGCGACGAUCAGUAGCUGGUCUGAGAGGAUGAUCAGCCACAUUGGGACUGAGACACGGCCCAAACUCCUACGGGAGGCAGCAGUGGGGAAUCUUGCGCAAUGGGCGAAAGCCUGACGCAGCCAUGCCGCGUGAAUGAUGAAGGUCUUAGGAUUGUAAAAUUCUUUCACCGGGGACGAUAAUGACGGUACCCGGAGAAGAAGCCCCGGCUAACUUCGUG
rnacentral:rRNA from 1 species